UAUGAUUUGAAGACAAUUGCUUGACUUCACUCAAAUGAGUCCCUGAAUGAUUUCCUAGAACAGAACCUGCACUGUACUGCACUGUAAUAAGUGAGGUAGCUUCAAGGUACCUACCACUCAAAGAGGAAAGAAAAGUGUGUCAAACCUACAAGCCAGGAAAUAGGUCAGCCUGAAGAUCCACGUGCAGAAAAGAACAUUGAGAGUGGUCAGUGGCCCAGGUAACUGACUAGUUUUCCAAUGUCUGGAGGCAAGUAUGCCUAUCAAUUGCAAAUUACAAAUUCUCAACCCGGACUCCGAGGCGUGGUAUUGAGUGGAAUGCUAUAAAUGUAACCCAGCUGUUAACUUUGCAU